rnacentral:lncRNA from 1 species
CAGCUUGUGAAGUAGCAUACAUUGUGGGGUCUAUUCAAUACACGUCGUGGAAAUUCAGUUUUACAGCUUGAUUGACAUUUUAAAGGCAAUGUUUCCACUUUAGCGGAGACUGCAUUCACGGUAAACGCUGCAUACGUCGGCUCAAUCGGAAAUCUCCUUCACAUUUCUAUCAGGGAAUCUGUAACGCUUCGGAUUGACUAGAGCCGCAGGUGCUAUAAGUAUUCGGUCACAAAUGAAUCCUACCACCUGCCUAAUUGUCAAGGUCAUGGACAGGAAAUCAUUUUUUAGAAGCAUUCACUACAAGAGAAGCAGCUGGUUGGUAUGACAAGUAGCUGAGGAUGGGAACGUCAAUGCUGAUCUUGAAUUAAUUAUCCAAUGGACUCAGAAUGGCAGUUAUUUAGUCAGGAUCAUUUACAUGCUUAUGACAGCAAUUACAAUUCAUUAUAACCCCAUCAUACUGUAUCAUACUUGCCAGCGAGUUGCCUCAUUUUCAUUUGAUUUACAGUAGACUACAUAUCGUAUCUGUGUGUGAGGGUUGAGAUUGCAUUUCCUUAUAAAGUAUGUAUUACCUUUCCAAAAAACGAACAAUGCUGCAAUUGCACAUUUCAAAUAUGUUUUCAAAAUAUAUUGAGAGAAAAAAGUAUGUAUUCCCUAAGCCUAGUUUACAUACAGUGUGAUUGUGAGUGUUAGCAUAACUGGUGAAUAUAUUGACCUGAUACUUGACACUACCCACUUUUUCUGACUGCUCUAUUUCUGUUCCAUGAUCCUGGUCAUGACUUCACAAUCACCAUCCUAUUGCCAGGGAGCUAACAUCAACCAACAGUCAAAUGUCAUGACUACACAAUCACCAUCCUAUUGCCAGGGAGCUAACAUCAACCAACAGUCAAAUGUCAUGACUACACAAUCACCAUCCUAUUGCCAAGGAGUCAAAUGAAAUCUAAUUGCAUUUGAUUUGUCACAUGUGCCGAAUACAAUUAUUAUAAUAAAAAGAAAAAUACUAACACAAGAGUAUUGAUCAGGUACCAGUACCAGUACCAGUACCAGAUCAAUGUGCAUGGAGGGAUAUGAUGAAUUUGAGGUAGAUAUGUGCAUGAAGGCAGGGUAAAGUGACUAGGCAUCAGGAUAGAUAUUAAUAAGACUAGAAUAAAGAACAGAGUAGCAGCAGCAUAUUAUGAGUGUAAAAGUGUGUGUUUGCGUGUGUUUUGUGUCAUUUUACACGUGUGUGUGUAUGUUGUGUUUGUGUUGUGUCGGUAUGUCGUGUGUGUGUGCGUAUGUAUGUAAUGUAUGUGAAUGUGUGUGGGUUUUGUGUGAGAGUGUCAGUGCCUGUGUAGUGUUAGUGUGUAUAUAAUGUGUAUAUAAAGU